AUCUGAAUUCGGACAUGGGUCUCAAAGAAGAGGCCCAUGCGCUACUGCAAACAACGUAAGGGUGCAAGAAACAUGCUUGACUCAAUAAUCCGUUUGGGCCUAAGGCCCAACCCUGGAUCCAAGCUCCAAACCUGCGGUCAUAUGAGGAUCUGAAUUUCCUCCAUACAAGACCAUUAUGCAGCCAAAGCAGCCAUGAACAAGAUCAGAGAGAACGCUUGAACCACGACAAAUGCUGCUUCUUAUUCCGACGUCUCCAUCAUCAUCAACGACAUCACAUCAUGUUUCCAAUCGAACAAGAGGAGCAUCGAUCUCGUCGACGGUGCAUUCAUUCUUACAGCUUCAUGUUUGAAGGUCUGAGGUCACAAAGAUUCGACGGCGCAAAGACUCGAAGUGUUCCAUGAGGCUCAAAAGCAUCGACGGUGCCAUUUUCUCCGUUGUCAAUCAUACACAAACAGAGGAAGAAGAAAAACGUAAAAGAGGAGUCAAAAACUCACUAGGUAUUGUUCGGCUUCUCUUCUUUCCCUCUGAACCUCACACCUCCUUCUUCUUUGUUGUGAAUGGAAGUUGCAGAAACUGAUUGCUGCGGAAGAUUGCAGAUCGCAGAAGACGAUUGUUGCAUAAGAUUGCAGAAGCUCCUUAUUGCAGAAGAUGAUUGUCGAAGAUCCAUGCAGAAGAUGAUUGCAGAAGCUCCUUGACUUGGGAAAGCUCUUGGGCAACCAGGUGCAUAGUGCUUGUUGCAGUUCUGUUGGUUGAAUCUGGUAUGCCAGGUCUGCUCGUUUUGUUAGUGAAAGUUAGCUUGAUGAGAAAAUGUUGAGUCAAAGUUGAUUUAAUUGCUAUUGAUGUUAUGUGACAGGCUGUUGAAAAGGCUAGAAUUUGGCUAGAAAUAGGAUUGUUAUAAUUGUGAAAUCAUGAAUCAAAGAUUGCUCUGUUAAUUACUGGACUAGUAACAUGUUAAUGGUUAACGAAGAUGCGAAUCUGAUAUGGACUUGUUGAUGGAUAUUGCAAUAAAUCUUGAGUUUUCUGUGUUAGGAAUUUAACAUUAGUUAAAAAUGGUCAGUUCUGUUAUGUAUGCGUAUGCUUAUGUCUUUGAACUUGGAGCAAAGUUAGGAAAAACGUUAUAGCCUUAUUACUGCUAUGCAAAUAUUGAUGUGGUGAACAUGCUAGUGAUCAUGCUACUUAUUAUAGGGCCUGCUAAAUGGUUGGUCAUAGUGUAAUGAAAUAUCAUGAUGAAGUCAUAAUGUCACAGGGUCAUAUUAUGCAUUGUGUUCAUGAUUGCUUGGUUAUGCAUUGAUGUCUUGAUACUGAAUGUAGGCUUAAAAUGAUGUGCAAAGCUGAUGUUGACUUGGAGCUUGGGUCAUGACUUCAAAAUGUGUUUGGCAUGAAAACAUCAUGAAAGUUCAAGGAAGAUGGAAGAAGCAAAAAAACAUGGCUUGCUAAUGAAGUAAAACUUAAGAAAAGGAGGUGGAACAAUGAAGAAUCAAAGUGAAAGUUUAGGAUUUAGGCUUAGAAAAGUAGGUGGGUUGACUUUGGUCAAAGUUGACCAAAAAGUCAACUAUUGACCAAAGUCAACUUUUCGUCAAAGUUUUUAUAUUAUUAUUUUCUGUAAUUUUCUUUUAGGAAUGAUGUAAAUGCAAUGAAAUGGACACUUGUAUGAAAUGGCCCUUUUAUUUCAAUGAAACAAAUGCUUUAAUUUCAAAUGA